UUGAAGUUAGCAAAACAACCAGAACAAAUAUUAGAAAGAAAACAGGAAGAGUAUGUAGAGGGAAAACCACUGAUGACAGGAGAUUCAAGUAAAUCCAAGGUUGAAGCUCUAGUAGACCCAGAAAGGUCAGCAUAUGCAGCUAGCAUGCAUGGAAAUUCUGAUUACUCACCUCCAAAGCACAUCAAAUUCGAUAUGCCAAGAUUUGAUGGAAAUGAACCAGAGCUUUGGAAAUUCAUGGCUAGAAGGUUUUUCAUAUUUCAUAAUACUCCAAAGGAUCAGAAACUUAUAAUUGCAUCUUUUAACAUGCAAGGAGUGACACUCAAAUGGUUUCUAUGGAUGGAAUCGAGAAACUACUUAACUACAUGGUCUGCCUUUGUUAAAUCCCUUCUUAAGAAAUUUAAUCCAACUACAUAUACCAUUCCAGGUGGGAAAUUAAGCAAGCUAGUUCAGACUACUACAGUGGCAGAUUUUGUCGAGAAAUUUGAAGAUUAUUCAUCCAAGGUGGUGGGAAUCCCUGAUUGGCUCUUCCUAGAGAUGUUUCUAUCUGGAUUGAAAGAUGAAGUUCAAAAAGAGGUAGUCAGGGCAAAAUUAGAAGAUCUACAAAAGGCUAUGGAACUAGCUUUACACCUAGAAAAGCAAGGUACGAGCAGCACUUCUACAUUUAAACAAGGAGGAUAUAAAGCAAUCCAAGGCAGAUCCUAUUACACUAAGACAGGCGGUGGAGGAAUUCUAAACACUCCUACAAAUCAUGGUUGGGUAACUAAUUCAGCAAACAACACUAAUAAGGCAGAAAAUCCAAAUCCAAAUUUCAAGAGGCUCACAUUUGCUGAAAGAAAAGAGAGGACUUCUAAAGGGCUAUGCUUCAACUGUGAUGAAAAAUUCACACCCGGACACAAAUGUAAGGGCAAACUGUUUAGGUUUUCAGCAGAAGACAACACCUUCUGGGAGUUAGUUGAUGAAGAGGAAGAAGUGGAAAUAAAAAUUCUGGAAAUAGAAGAGGAAUCUGAAAUUAGCAUGCAAGCCUUACAAGGAAGGAUUGGCAUGAGAACAAUCAGAUUAGAAGGAUUCAUCAAGAGUCAAGGGGUAAGUAUACUCAUAGACACAGGGUCCACCCACAACUUCCUGCAAAAAGAAGUUGCAAAAAAACUUACAGUUGACAAUAUGUGCCAUAAAUCCUUUCAAGGUGUCAACUGGUAGUGGUGAAAAACUCCUAUGUGAUAAAGUUUGCAAGAAUGUGAAGAUUAAGAUCCAAGGAACUCUAAUAACCUUAGAUCUAUUCCUAUCACAUAUGGAUGGAGCUAAUGUUGUUAUUGGCACACAAUGACUAAAACAAUUGGGAGAUGUUGUCUCUAAUUACAAGGAGUUAGUCAUGAAAUUUUUUUGGAAGGGAGAACAAGUUAUUUGGCAAGGACUAUCAUGGCUGGACAGUGAUCCCUCAACAUCAGGCUAGUUAAAAUCACUUGAGAAAUCAGCAACAGAAGCCUUUCUAUACUACUUUGAAGCAGUAAACAAUAGUGAUGGAAAUGAGUUAAAUUCUGAAAUUCCAACUGUAAAAGAGAUAAUUGAAGAAAAUUCUGAAAUUUUUGAAGAACCUAAAGGACUUCCUCCUCAUAGGGAGUAUGAUCAUCACAUACAUCUAGAACCCUAUUCGGCACCUAUAAAUGUAAGGCCUUACAAGUAUCCCCAAUUUCAGAAGGGAGAGAUUGAAAAAUUAAUAAGGGAGUUACUGCAACAAGGCACUAUACAACCCAACAUCAGUCCUCACUCCUCACCUGUCCUAUUAGUAAAGAAGAAAGAUGGUGGGUAUAGACUAUGUGUAGAUUAUAGAGCCCUAAAUGCCAUCACCAUCAAAGAUAAAUUCCCUAUACCUACUGCGGAUGAGCUAUUGGGAGAAUUGAGAGGUUUUAAAAUAUUUUCCAAAUUAUAUUUGAAGUCUGGCUUCCAUCAAAUCAGAAUAGAUUCUAAGGAUGCAGAAAAAACUGCCUUCAGGACUCACCAAGACCACUACGAAUUUUUGGUGAUGCCCUUUGGACUAACCAAUGUUCCUGCCACAUUUCAAGCUGUAAUGAAUAGAGUUUUCCAGCAAUACUUAAGGAAGUUCGUUAUAAUUUUCUUUGAUGAUAUUCUGAUAUACAGUUCUUUAUUGGAAAAUCACUUACAACAUCUGAAGAUCAUAUUUGACAUCUUAAAUAAACAUCAGCUCCUAGCCAAGAAAUCCAAAUGCUCUUUUGGACAACCUUCUAUGGGAUUCUUGGGUCAUAUUAUCAGUCAGGAAGGAGUAAAUCCCGAUUCUGUAAAAAUACAAGCUAUUUUGGGAUGGCCAAUCCCCAAGACCUUGAAGCAACUGAGAGGAUUCUUAGGAUUGAGCAAGGUUUAAAAACCGGCGGUUAACCGGCUGACCGGUAAAAUCCCACUAACCGGUGACCGGUUAGUUGGGACGGGUAAAUGGGUCGAUGGGGUGGGGUCUGACCCGUACCCGACCCGGUUACCCGUCCCUGUUACCCGUCUCGGAUAUAAUUAAUUCACUUAUGGGCUUUAUUUAAUAAAGCCCAUUAUGUUUAAUUUAUUAAAGCCUCAUUUCAAGUUAUUUGAAACCCUAUAAGUUCAUUUAAUAAAGCCUCAAAGAAUAAGUUUAAAUCUUAUUCUUUGCAACCCUAGCCGUUGCCUCCUUCUUCCUUAUAAUUCUUUUUCUCCUCCACUCCUUAGAAUAAGUUUAUGAUAUUUUUAUUUAUAUAAACAGGGAUAUAAACAUGGAUAUAAACAUGGAAUAGAUAUAUAAGUAUAUAACAUAAUUUCUGUUUUUUUUAAAAAAUUACCAAAAUACCCCUACCGGUUAACCACUGGUUAACCGGUGGUUAACCGGUCUAACCGGAUAACCGGUAAGCCAGAACCGGUUACCGGUUAACCGGUUUUUAAACCUUGGGAUUGAGUGGAUAUUACAGGAGAUUCAUUAAGGGGUAUGCUCAACUAGCCACGCCCAUGACUGAGUUAUUAAAAAAGACGCCUUCAAGUGGUCAGAGGAAGCCACCAAGAGUUUUGAAGUGUUAAAAACUGCCAUGACAUCAGCUCCAAUCCUCCAGUUCUCAAAUUUUCAGAAGGAGUUCACUGUCGAGACAGAUGCCUGCAACACUGGAAUAGGGGUUGUCUUAUUACAAGAAAAUCUCCCUAUUGCCUUCUUCAGUAGCAAGAUAAGUGGGAGGUUAUCGGCAGCUUCUGUUUACAUCAAGGAGAUGCAUGCUAUCACUCAAUCGGUGGCAAAAUGGAGACAUUAUCUCUUUGAUAGGCAUUUUAUCAUAAAAACUGAUCACAGAAGUUUGAAAAACCUAUUGACUCAAGUAAUACAAACACCCGAAUAACAGGUAUUUCUUUGUAAGCUAUUAGGCUAUGAUUUCUUUAUUAUUUAUAAACCUGGGAAAUUCAACCAAGUGGCAAAUGUAUUAUCUAGAAGCCACGAGACUGAAGAAGAAAUUCUAUAUUCAAACAAGGCAGAAGUUACCAAGGGAUCUAUGUUAGCUUUUUCUAUUCCCAUACACCAACUUAUUGAAGAAAUAAAACUGUUUAAUGUGAAUUCAGAGAAGGCUAAGGUGUACAUAGAAGGAAUCCUUGAAGAUAACUUAAAAUCCCAAGGCUAUGCUUUCAGAAAUGGGCUGAUAUUUUUUAAAAGAAGAAUACUACUCAUACAAGGGUCUGAAAUAAUCUCUAGAGUAUUGCAGGAGUUCCAUGAUAGUUACGUGGGAGGUUAUUCGGGAGUAGAAAGAACAUUCAGCAGGAUAUCCAAAAAAAUUUGGUGGCAAGGAAUGUGAAAAGAGAUAAAGAAAUAUGUGAAGGAAUGUGCUAUCUGUCAAAAGAUUAAACCCUCAAAUUAGAAAAGCAAUGGGCUUCUCAUGCCACUGCCAAUUCCAUCUUCAGUUUGGCAAGAUAUUUCAGUAGACUUUAUCACUGGUCUACCCAAGGUACAAAAUAAAUCUGUGAUCAUAGUAGUGGUAGAUAGACUCUCUAAAUCAUGUCAUUUAGGAGCACCCACUUCUAAUUAUAAUGCUUUUAUGGUUGCUGAAUUUUUUGUCAAUGAGAUCAUUAGACUACAUGGGUAUCACAACUCUAUUGUAUCUAACAGAGACAAGGUAUUUGUAUCCAAGUUCUGGAAGGAACUAAAUAAAUUGAGUGGAACUAAACUCAAUUUCACUUCUGCCUACCAUCCACAAAGUGAUGGCCAAACAGAAGUAGUUAACAGAGGCAUCGAAAUGUAUUUAAGAGCUAUGGUCCAUGAAGAACCUAAAGAGUGGUUAAACUCCUUCCAUGGGCAGAAUUAUGGUUUAACACUAAUUAUAAUGCUUCUCUAGGACAAAUACCCUUUCAGACAUUAUAUGGAAGAGAGACAGCCUUGUUUUCCAAUUAUAUGAAAGUUCCAAUAUUGAUGCAGUAAAUGGGGAAAUUCAGUUAAGAAAAGAAGCAUUGGAGGUUGUCAAAAGAAACUUAGCUAAAGCCCAAAGCAGAAUGAAGAUUAAUGCAGAUAAAGGAAGGAGAGAAAUGGAAUUCAAAGAAGGUGAUUUGAUGUUAGUUAAAUUACAGCCAUAUCGACAAUUAACAGUGGCAUUCAGAUUAAAUAACAAAAUGAGUCAAAAAUAUUUCAGACCAUACAAGAUCAAGAAGAAGAUAAAUAAAGUGGCUUACAAGCUUCAUCUACCAGAAGGAAGCAGAAUUCAUGAUUGUUUUCACAUCAGCAAGUUAAAAGCAUUCCAUGGUCCAGAGCAACCUGCAAAUUGGGAAAAACAACCCAUAAUUUCAGUAAGAAAUAAUUCCAUUCAUUAUCCUAUAGCUAUUCUUGAUUGCAGGGAGGUUUAUAAGCAAGGAAAAAGAGUACCCCAAUCUCUGAUUCAAUGGAGUGGAGCAUUUCUUGAAGAUUCAUCAUGGGAAGACGAUGAUUGCUUGAAGAAGCUCUUCCCUUCUAUCCACCUUGAGGACAAGGUGAAUCCUUGGGGGAGGUAGUCUUGUUACGGAGAAGGUAGUGAAAGAUCUGAAGAAGAUAGCAUCAUUGAUGGAAGAAAUAAAAGAUGAACAGGAGCCGGAGUGAGGUAACUGCAGCAACGUCUCCGGUGAGGAAUCCGAGAAGAAAUUAGGUCCGUCUGCCCAAGCCGUCCGGAGCUCAAAUCGAAAUAGAAAACCCUCACAUUGGGUAAACCGAUUUCACCACUUAGAAAGAGGGCAAACCCGAUUAGAGGAAGGUGAUUAAUUAAUUAGUUAAAUUAAUAUUUUUAGACUUAAUUAAUCAUAAAUUGUAAGAGUGUUAAAAUCCGAGCCUCACUCCACAAUCAGUCACCAAACUUCAGACGUCCUCCUAGCAAGCCACCACGACAUUCGGGAUACUUUCAAUUUCGCGAAAGGAGCCUCAUAGCAACAUCCUCCAAAUCUCCCAACACUACAACCCAACAAAGUUCAAUUCAGAAAUUAAUUUUUUUUUAGCUCGUAUUUUGAUCGGAGACAUUGGGUCUAUCCAGGUCCUAUUAAUUUCAUAAAAAUCUGGAUUAAUCCUUAAUACAAUUGAUCCUUAUCAUAAUCCUCCCUUCUCGAGGUAUUGGAAUCGUAAAUCCUUAUUUCAUUCGCAUCAUAUGUAACUAAUUUUCUAAUCCACUUAUUCCUUCUCUCUCCUCUUCCUCAGUUGAAACAUCCUCGAAGUGAAAUAAAAAAUAUAAUAUAUUAAUUUUUUAAUGGUUAUUGUAAUUUGUGAUCCCACGUAAUCCUAUUUAAAAUGUCCAAAACCCUCACGGGUUCAAUAUAAAUAAAAUCCAAGCACUCUUGAC
rnacentral:lncRNA from 1 species